UACGUAGGGUGCGAGCGUUGUCCGGAAUUACUGGGCGUAAAGAGCUCGUAGGUGGUUUGUCGCGUUGUUCGUGAAAACUCACAGCUCAACUGUGGGCGUGCGGGCGAUACGGGCAGACUGGAGUACUGCAGGGGAGACUGGAAUUCCUGGUGUAGCGGUGGAAUGCGCAGAGUAUCAGGAGGAACACCGGUGGCGAAGGCGGGUCUCUGGGCGAGGUAACUGACGCUGAGGGGCGAAAGCGUGGGGAGCAAACAGG
rnacentral:rRNA from 1 species